rnacentral:rRNA from 1 species
GACGAACGCUGGCGGCGUGCUUAACACAUGCAAGUCGAACGGAAAGGCCCUGCUUUUGUGGGGUGCUCGAGUGGCGAACGGGUGAGUAACACGUGAGUAACCUGCCCUUGACUUUGGGAUAACUUCAGGAAACUGGGGCUAAUACCAGAUAGGAGCUCCUGCUGCAUGGUGGGGGUUGGAAAGUUUCGGCGGUUGGGGAUGGACUCGCGGCUUAUCAGCUUGUUGGUGGGGUAGUGGCUUACCAAGGCUUUGACGGGUAGCCGGCCUGAGAGGGUGACCGGCCACAUUGGGACUGAGAUACGGCCCAGACUCCUACGGGAGGCAGCAGUGGGGAAUAUUGCACAAUAGGCGGAAGCCUGAUGCAGCAACGCCGCGUGCGGGAUAACGGCCUUCGGGUUGUAAACCGCUUUCGCCUGUGACGAAGCGUGAGUGACGGUAAUGGGUAAAGAAGCACCGGCUAACUACGUG